GCCGGCGUGGGGGGAGCCUUGCUCGGAGCGGGCGUUACAUGACCCCCGCCCCCACCCCACCGGGUCUCCUGGCUCCGCCGGCCGCGGCCGCUCUCCCGCGAGGGACCCGGCUCCAGGCGAUUCCCAGGCGCCUCUGCCCCGAGCCUCUCCGCCCGGAAGCCGGGGGCCGGGCUGGGCUCCGGGGUGUGGCGGGACCCCAGCGCGCGGCUCUCAGCCUUCUCACCCUGCCGCUCUUGCCUCCACGCCCCCUCCUCGUCCCUCCUUCUUGACUCUCCCGUCUCUGGGUGUCGCCCCCAACUUUCUCUCUUCCCAAACUGCACCGUGUGGCCUGUGGCCGCCCAGACCGGCGCGAUGCUAGCACCGUCCUCAAGGGAGCCCUCCCCGCUGGCGGGGCGUGGGGUUCCCGGCCCGAGUCUCCGCUGAGCGGGAAUUCCCUCCCGACCCACUGACGGGAGCCCGUCCCCCGCCCCAUCUGAGCGGCGGUGGGCGUGCGGUGGUCGCGGCGAGCCGCCGGCUGGACUGUGGAGAGUAAAGGGGACCCGCGAAGCUUCUGGGAGGGUUUUGGGGUGUAGCUACAGCCUCGCGUGCGGGGAGGCGACGCCCCGGUGGGCCCCCCUGCAGCGUCGCCGGCACGCGCCCCUAAGGCCCAGGAGGGUUCUGUCCUCCCCUCCACCCACCCCAACACUCAGGUCCCAGCUUGAGUGGAUUCGGGGGACGGAGGACACGGAGGGGGGUACUUGCAUUUUCUCCCCGUCUGCUGCAUCCAGGCCCCAGGCAGCCUGGGGGUCUUUGUCCCCAGGGCCGGCCUCGGGCCCCGCCCCCUCCAUCAACUCGGGGACCCCGACGCCCUCCAGAGCUUCUGUGCCGCGCACCAGCGGUCUCCAAGCCUCGCGGGAGCUGCCGGAGACCCUGUGUCCUGCCUGGACGCCUGUCUGCCUGUGUGUCCUGGAAUGAGGAGGUGAUGCCCACGACCCCUACGGGGAGGAAUCCACCCACCUGGGCUCCACAGAUGGGCCAGCUCACCGGCGGGCCCUGAGCUGAAGGUAAGGGCCACCUUGCCUCAUGGGCCAUCUGGACGAGGCGGCCCUGCGACCUGGAGGCAGGGGUGCUGGGUCGUGGGCGGGCCUGCAGUCCUGCAUGAGACCCGCUGUUGGACAGAAACAGACGGCCUUCAGGGUCCGACUCGUGCAGUGGCGAUGCCUGCCCCAGAGAGGAGAUGGCCAAGGCUUCAGGGCCCCCUCGGGCCUGAGAGGAGGAGCUCGGGGCUUUGGGAGACGCAGGGAUGGUGCUCCGGCCUGUCCGUGUCCUCCCUGACGGGGCGCCCCUGCCCUGUGGGUUAAAGGAGGUUUUGUUUCCUCCUGCUUUGUGGGAGCAGAUGCAGCACUGGGUUGGAGCGUGCGCUGUCGUGCCCACCGUGAGGCCGGUGUGUGUGGACAUGCCUCGUGUCUGCUUAAAGACAGGCUCCUUAUCCUGAAGUGGACGCUGGACUGAACACCCAGUGAGUGAGGGGGUCGGAGCUGCCCUGCCGUGGCCGGGGGCUCGGUGACCGCGAUGCCGUGUCUGCUGGGCGCCUUGUUCCGGCUGAAAAGUGCUGGACGGGCUGUCUCCCGUCGGCUCAGGAGUUGCAGAUGCGCCCUCUUUGGGUGGUGGCUUGAUUUCUUGGUUUCCCGGGCCUCUGACUCGGCAGCUCUGGCUCGGCUCCUGGGCCUGUGCCGUGGGGCGUCUGGGCCGAUGGAGCUGGGCCGUCAUGCCCCAAACCGGCAGGGGUGCUGUCUGUGAGCCGCGGCGCACAGGCCACUGACCGCGGACUUCAGGUUUGGGGUGUCUGUAGUGGGCCGUCGCUGCCGUUUUCUGCUGUGUAGAGGAUUCGCUAAGCUGAGUGUAUUUAGAGUGACUGUGACCUUGCGCUCUGCCAACUGUCGCUGGAGGUGAUAGGAGGCGUUGGGGGGUUUGCGAGG
rnacentral:lncRNA from 1 species